UAGGGGUAAAAUCCGUAGAUAUCACCAAGAAUACCCAUUGCGAAGGCGAUCUGCUGGAACUCAACUGACGCUAAGGCGCGAAAGCGUGGGGAGCAAACAGGAUUAGAUACCCUGGUAGUCCACGCCCUAAACGAUGUACACUAGUUGUUGGGGUGCUAGUCAUCUCAGUAAUGCAGCUAACGCAUUAAGUGUACCGCCUGGGGAGUACGGUCGCAAGAUUAAAACUCAAAGGAAUAGACGGGGACCCGCACAAGCGGUGGAGCAUGUGGUUUAAUUCGAAGAUACGCGAAGAACCUUACCUGGGCUUGAUAUCCUAAGAACCUUUUAGAGAUAAGAGGGUGCUAGCUUGCUAGAACUUAGAGACAGGUGCUGCACGGCUGUCGUCAGCUCGUGUCGUGAGAUGUUGGGUUAAGUCCCGCAACGAGCGCAACCCACGUAUUUAGUUGCUAACGGUUCGGCCGAGCACUCUAAAUAGACUGCCUUCGUAAGGAGGAGGAAGGUGUGGACGACGUCAAGUCAUCAUGGCCCUUAUGCCCAGGGCGACACACGUGCUACAAUGGCAUAUACAAUGAGACGCAAUACCGCGAGGUGGAGCAAAUCUAUAAAAUAUGUCCCAGUUCGGAUUGUUCUCUGCAACUCGAGAGCAUGAAGCCGGAAUCGCUAGUAAUCGUAGAUCAGCCAUGCUACGGUGAAUACGUUCCCGGGUCUUGUACUCACCGCCCGUCACACCAUGGGAGUUGAUUUCACUCGAAGCCGGAAUACUAAACUAGUUACCGUCCACAGUGGAAUCAGCGACUGGGGUGAAGUCGUAACAAGGUAACCGUAGGAGAACCUGCGGUUGGAUCACCUCCUUU
rnacentral:rRNA from 1 species